rnacentral:rRNA from 1 species
CCUACGGGUGGCAGCAGUGGGGAAUAUUGGGCAAUGGGCGCAAGCCUGACCCAGCAACGCCGCGUGAAGGAAGAAGGCCCUCGGGUUGUAAACUUCUUUUGUCAGGGACGAAACAAAUGACGGUACCUGACGAAUAAGCCACGGCUAACUACGUGCCAGCAGCCGCGGUAAUACGUAGGUGGCAAGCGUUAUCCGGAUUUACUGGGUGUAAAGGGCGUGUAGGCGGGAGAGCAAGUCAGAUGUGAAAUUCCAGGGCUCAACCCUGGAACUGCAUUUGAAACUGUUUUUCUUGAGUGAUGGAGAGGCAGGCGGAAUUCCGUGUGUAGCGGUGAAAUGCGUAGAUAUCAGGAGGAACACCGGUGGCGAAGGCGGCCUGCUGGACUGCAACUGACGUUGAGGCCCGAAAGCGUGGGGAGCAAACAGGAUUAGAUACCCCUGUAGUC